UGAGCUUGAAAUGCACAUCUUUACCCAUCUAAGAUCAAAAUCCUAAAUUUCCAGAUCUGGAAGUGGAAGCUAGCUCAUAAAAAUGACAGUGCUAAUCGACUCCUCCAUUUGGGAACCUAAUCCCUCGCUCUAUUUCUUCAUUUUCAUCUCUUGCUUCUUCUCUAUCGCUUUCUUCCCUCACGCUUCAAGAACCAACAAAUCUCUAUCUCCAUCGCCCUUCGAUCAUGGCAUCUCUUCUUCUUCUUCUUCUUCUUCUU
rnacentral:misc_RNA from 1 species